rnacentral:lncRNA from 1 species
CUUCUUUGUCUCCAUUUUAAACUUCAGAAAUAAAACACAGAUCUUGAAGUUAAUUCAAAAUCUAUUUUAGUCCGCUCUAAAAUGUGUCAAGUCUGAGUACAAAGAAUUCUUUUCCUUGAGAACUGAGUAACGUACGAUCAUACAACUCCAGCAGGAAAGCUCAUCAGGCUGAGAGCAGAGCUGCAAACAAAUAUACUGCUAUGAAGAUUGGAGUUAAGGAAGUGUGGCCACUUUUCAUUAAAUGGAUAGUGUACAAGAAAAUUAGAUGACCGGGAAUCACCAGAAGAAGCAGAACUUGAGCUGACUUGUUAUUUACUCCUACA